rnacentral:rRNA from 1 species
UGGGGAAUAUUGCGCAAUGGGGGGAACCCUGACGCAGCCAUGCCGCGUGAAUGAAGAAGGCCUUCGGGUUGUAAAGUUCUUUCGGUAUUGAGGAAGGUUGAUGUGUUAAUAGCACAUCAAAUUGACGCUAAAUACAGAAGAAGCACCGGCUAACUCCGUGCCAGCAGCCGCGGUAAUACGGAGGGUGCGAGCGUUAAUCGGAAUAACUGGGCGUAAAGGGCACGCAGGCGGUUAUUUAAGUGAGGUGUGAAAGCCCCGGGCUUAACCUGGGAAUUGCAUUUCAGACUGGGUAACUAGAGUACUUUAGGGAGGGGUAGAAUUCCACGUAUAGCGGUGAAAUGCGUAGAGAUGUGGAGGAAUACCGAAGGCGAAGGCAGCCCCUUGGGAAUGUACUGACGCUCAUGUGCGAAAGCGUGGGGAGCAAACAGGAUUAGAUACCCUGGUAGUCCACGCUGUAAACGCUGUCGAUUUGGGGGUUGGGGUUUAACUCUGGCGCCCGUAGCUAACGUGAUAAAUCGACCGCCUGGGGAGUACGGCCGCAAGGUUA